ACGCUCGACACCUACGGGAGGAGCAGUAGGGAAUCUUCCACAAUGGACGCAAGUCUGAUGGAGCAACGCCGCGUGAGUGAAGAAGGUCUUCGGAUCGUAAAACUCUGUUGUUAGAGAAGAACACGAGUGAGAGUAACUGUUCAUUCGAUGACGGUAUCUAACCAGCAAGUCACGGCUAACUACGUGCCAGCAGCCGCGGUAAUCUGAGCGGGCUGGCAAGGC
rnacentral:rRNA from 1 species